rnacentral:rRNA from 1 species
GCAUGCAUGUCUAAGCACAUGCCUUAAUACGGUGAAGCCGCGAAUAGCUUCAUUUACAACAGCCAUCGUUUACUAGAAUAUAGUUAUUCCUACUUGGAUAACUCGUGGCAAUUCUAGAGCUAAUACAUGCAAAAAAGCUCUGCCCGUAAGGAACGAGCGCAUUUAUUAGAAUAAAAACCAAUCGGGUUUCGGCCCGUACUUUGGUGAAUCUGAAUAACUUUGCCAAUCGCACAGUCCUAGUACUGGCGAUGUAUCUUUCAAGUGUCUGCCUUAUCAACUUUCGAUGGUAGGUUAUACGCCUACCAUGGUAGUAACGGGUAACGGAGAAUAAGGGUUCGACUCCGGAGAGGGAGCCUGAGAAACGGCUACCACAUCCAAGGAAGGCAGCAGGCGCGCAAAUUACCCACUUCCAGUACGGAGAGGUAGUGACGAAAAAUAACGAGACAGUCCUCUUCGAGGUCUGUCAUCGGAAUGGGUACAAUUUAAAUCCUUUAACGAGGAUCUAUUGGAGGGCAAGUCUGGUGCCAGCAGCCGCGGUAAUUCCAGCUCCAAUAGCGUAUAUUAAAGUUGUUGCGGUUAAAACGCUCGUAGUUGAAUCUGCGGUCUUGGAGAACGGUCCCCCGAAAGGGUGGUCACUGUCUCUCCUGGCCUAAAUUCGAGUCGUCUCUAGGUGCUCUUAAUCGAGUGCUUAGAGUGACUAGAACGUUUACUUUGAAAAAAUUAGAGUGCUUAAAGCAGGCGAAAUAGCCUGAAUAAAAUGCAUGGAAUAAUAGAAUAGGACCUCGGUUCUAUUUUGUUGGUUUCCAGUGCCUGAGGUAAUGAUUAAGAGGAACAGACGGGGGCAUUCGUAUUCCGGCGCUAGAGGUGAAAUUCUUGGACCGCCGGAAGACGAACGACU